UACGGAGGAGGCAAGCGUUAUCCGGAAUUAUUGGGCGUAAAGCGUCCGUAGGUGGUCAUGUAAGUCGGUCGUCAAAGCCAGAGGCUCAACCUCUGUCAGGCGGUGGAAACUGCAAGACUAGAGAGAGGUAGGGGUAGAGGGAAUUCCCAGUGUAGCGGUGAAAUGCGUAGAGAUUGGGAAGAACAUCGGUGGCGAAAGAGCUCUACUGGACCUUUUCUGACAUUGAUGGACGAAAGCUAGGGGGGCGAAUGGG
rnacentral:rRNA from 1 species